GUCGCUUCUUGGCCUUUUGGCUAAGAUCAAGUGUAGUAUCUGUUCUUAUCAGUUUCAUGCUGGUGGGUAUGGGUGCUGCAUGGUAGGGGGCAGGUGUACCGGGGCGUUCCGGGGCUGGUUCUGAGGAAUCAGCUCGACGGCUGCCCUGAUGUGACCCGUUUCCUCCGGGUCUCGUCAUGAGGCUGAGAGGGUCUAAA